rnacentral:rRNA from 1 species
GACGAACGCUGGCGGCGUGCUUAACACAUGCAAGUCGAACGGAAAGGCCCUGCUUUUGUGGGGUGCUCGUUUGGCGAACAGGUGAGUAAAACGUGAGUAACCCGCCCCUAACUUUGGGAUAAAUUUAGGAAACUGGGGCUAAUAUCGGAUAGGAUCUCCUGCUGCAUGGUGUGGAUUAGUAAGUGUCGGCGGUUGGGGAUGGACUCGCUGCUUAUCAGCUUGUUGGUGGGGUAGUGGCUUACCAAGUCUUUGACGGGUAGGCGGCAUGAGAGGGUGACCGGGCACAAUGGGACUGAGAGAGGCACCAGAAUGCUACGGGAGGCAGAAGUGGAGAACAUUGCAGAAUGGGCGGAAGCCUGAGACAGCGGCGCCGGGAGCGGGAUGACGUCUUUCGGGUUAAGAACCGCUUUCGCCGUUGCCGAAGAGUGAGUGACGGUACUGGGUAAAGAAGCACCGGCUAACUACGUG